rnacentral:rRNA from 1 species
GACGAACGCUGGCGGCGUGCUUAACACAUGCAAGUCGAACGGUAAGGCCCUUCGGGGUACACGAGUGGCGAACGGGUGAGUAACACGUGGGUGAUCUGCCCUGCACUUCGGGAUAAGCCUGGGAAACUGGGUCUAAUACCGGAUAGGACCACUGCCUGCAUGGGUGGUGGUGGAAAGCUUUUGCGGUGUGGGAUGGGCCCGCGGCCUAUCAGCUUGUUGGUGGGGUGAUGGCCUACCAAGGCGACGACGGGUAGCCGGCCUGAGAGGGUGACCGGCCACACUGGGACUGAGAUACGGCCCAGACUCCUCCGGGAGGCAGCAGUGGGGAAUAUUGCACAAUGGGCGCAAGCCGGAUGCAGCGACGCCGCGUGAGGGACGACGGCCUUCGGGUUGUAAACCUCUUUCAGCACCGACGAAGCGCAAGUGACGGUAGGUGCAGAAGAAGGACCGGCCAACUACGUGCCAGCCGCCGCCGUAA